GGUUCUGUGGCUUAGUUGGUUAAAGCGCCGGUCUAGCGAAUACGGAGUCGUGGGUUCGAAUCCCACUAGUACGC
rfam:Aedes albopictus isolate Foshan contig75723, whole genome shotgun sequence.